CAUGGCGGCCGCGGGWAUUCGAUUGGAAACAGGUGCUAAUACCGGAUAAUAACAGAUGAUGCCUAUCAACUGUUUAAAAGAUGGUUCUGCUAUCACUCUUGGAUGGACCUGCGGUGCAUUAGCUAGUUGGUAGGGUAACGGCCUACCAAGGCGAUGAUGCAUAGCCGAGUUGAGAGACUGAUCGGCCACAUUGGGACUGAGACACGGCCCAAACUCCUACGGGAGGCAGCAGUAGGGAAUCUUCCACAAUGGACGCAAGUCUGAUGGAGCAACGCCGCGUGAGUGAAGAAGGUUUUCGGAUCGUAAAGCUCUGUUGUUGGUGAAGAAGGAUAGAGGUAGUAACUGGCCUUUAUUUGACGGUGAUCAACCAGAAAGUCACGGCUAACUACGUGCCAGCAGCCGCGGUAAUACGAUAAUCACUAGUGAAUUCGCGGCCGCCUGCAGGUCGACCAUAUGGGAGAGCUCCCAACGCGU
rnacentral:rRNA from 1 species